rnacentral:rRNA from 1 species
AGCGGCAGACGGGUGAGUAACGCGUGGGAAUCUACCCAGCUCUACGGAACAACUCCGGGAAACUGGAGCUAAUACCGUAUACGUCCUUCGGGAGAAAGAUUUAUCGGAGUUGGAUGAGCCCGCGUUGGAUUAGCUAGUUGGUGGGGUAAUGGCCUACCAAGGCGACGAUCCAUAGCUGGUCUGAGAGGAUGAUCAGCCACACUGGGACUGAGACACGGCCCAGACUCCUACGGGAGGCAGCAGUGGGGAAUAUUGGACAAUGGGCGAAAGCCUGAUCCAGCCAUGCCGCGUGAGUGAUGAAGGCCCUAGGGUUGUAAAGCUCUUUCACCGGUGAAGAUAAUGACGGUAACCGGAGAAGAAGCCCCGGCUAACUUCGUGCCAGCAGCCGCGGUAAUACGAAGGGGGCUAGCGUUGUUCGGAAUUACUGGGCGUAAAGCGCACGUAGGCGGACUAUUAAGUCAGGGGUGAAAUCCCGGGGCUCAAC